rnacentral:sRNA from 1 species
AAUAGUACCUUAAAUCGUUUAAUAUGCCCACUACUACGAUCGAAGUUACUACACUACUCUUUUUACCAUU